rnacentral:rRNA from 1 species
GACGAACGCUGGCGGCGUGCUUAACACAUGCAAGUCGAACGGAAAGGCCCUGCUUUUGUGGGGUGCUCGAGUGGCGAACGGGUGAGUAACACGUGAGUAACCUGCCCUUGACUUUGGGAUAACUUCAGGCAACUGGGGCUAAUACCGGAUAGGAGCUCCUGCUGCAUGGUGGGGGUGGGAAAGUUUCGGCGGUUGGGGAUGGACUCGCGGCUUAUCAGCUUGUUGGUGGGGUAGUGGCUGACCAAGGCUUUGACGGGUAGCCGGCCUGAGAGGGUGACCGGCCACAUCGCGCCUGAGCUACGGCCCAGACUCCUACGGGAGGCAGCAGAGGGGAGUAUUGCACAAUGGGCGGAAGCCUGAUGCAGCAACGCCGCGUGCGGGAUGACGUGCUUCGGGUUGUAAACCGCUUUCGCCUGUGACGAAGCGUGAGUGACGGUAAUGGGUAAAGAAGCACCGGCUAACUACGUG